rnacentral:rRNA from 1 species
GACGAACGCUGGCGGCGUGCCUAAUACAUGCAAGUUGAGCGCUGAAGGUUGGUACUUGUACCGACUGGAUGAGCAGCGAACGGGUGAGUAACGCGUGGGGAAUCUGCCUUUGAGCGGGGGACAACAUUUGGAAACGAAUGCUAAUACCGCAUAAAAACUUUAAACACAAGUUUUAAGUUUGAAAGAUGCAAUUGCAUCACUCAAAGAUGAUCCCGCGUUGUAUUAGCUAGUUGGUGAGGUAAAGGCUCACCAAGGCGAUGAUACAUAGCCGACCUGAGAGGGUGAUCGGCCACAUUGGGACUGAGACACGGCCCAAACUCCUACGGGAGGCAGCAGUAGGGAAUCUUCGGCAAUGGACGAAAGUCUGACCGAGCAACGCCGCGUGAGUGAAGAAGGUUUUCGGAUCGUAAAACUCUGUUGCUAGAGAAGAACGUUGGUGAGAGUGGAAAGCUCAUCAAGUGACGGUAACUACCCAGAAAGGGACGGCUAACUACGUG